rnacentral:rRNA from 1 species
GAUGAACGCUGGCGGCGUGCCUAAUACAUGCAAGUCGAGCGAACAGACGAGGAGCUUGCUCCUCUGACGUUAGCGGCGGACGGGUGAGUAACACGUGGAUAACCUACCUAUAAGACUGGGAUAACUUCGGGAAACCGGAGCUAAUACCGGAUAACAUGUUGAGCCGCAUGGUUCAACAGUGAAAGACGGUCUUGCUGUCGCUUAUAGAUGGAUCCGCGCCGCAUUAGCUAGUUGGUAAGGUAACGGCUUACCAAGGCAACGAUGCGUAGCCGACCUGAGAGGGUGAUCGGCCACACUGGAACUGAGACACGGUCCAGACUCCUACGGGAGGCAGCAGUAGGGAAUCUUCCGCAAUGGGCGAAAGCCUGACGGAGCAACGCCGCGUGAGUGAAUAAGGUCUUCGGAUCGUAAAACUCUGUUAUUAGGGAAGAACAAAUGUGUAAGUAACUAUGCACGUCUUGACGGUACCUAAUCAGAAAGCCACGGCUAACUACGUG